ACACAUGCAAGUCGAGCGGUAACAGAAAGUAGCUUGCUACUUUGCUGACGAGCGGCGGACGGGUGAGUAAUGCCUGGGAAUAUGCCUUGAUGUGGGGGAUAACUAUUGGAAACGAUAGCUAAUACCGCAUAAUGUCUUCGGACCAAAGAGGGGGAUCUUCGGACCUCUCGCGUCAAGAUUAGCCCAGGUGAGAUUAGCUAGUUGGUGGGGUAAGAGCUCACCAAGGCGACGAUCUCUAGCUGGUCUGAGAGGAUGAUCAGCCACACUGGAACUGAGACACGGUCCAGACUCCUACGGGAGGCAGCAGUGGGGAAUAUUGCACAAUGGGCGAAAGCCUGAUGCAGCCAUGCCGCGUGUAUGAAGAAGGCCUUCGGGUUGUAAAGUACUUUCAGUCGUGAGGAAGGGUGUGUAGUUAAUAGCUGCAUAUCUUGACGUUAGCGACAGAAGAAGCACCGGCUAACUCCGUGCCAGCAGCCGCGGUAAUACGGAGGGUGCGAGCGUUAAUCGGAAUUACUGGGCGUAAAGCGCAUGCAGGUGGUUCAUUAAGUCAGAUGUGAAAGCCCGGGGCUCAACCUCGGAACCGCAUUUGAAACUGGUGAACUAGAGUGCUGUAGAGGGGGGUAGAAUUUCAGUGUAGCGGUGAAAUGCGUAGAGAUCUGAAGGAAUACCAGUGGCGAAGCGGCCCCUGGACAGACACUGACACUCAGAUGCGAA
rnacentral:rRNA from 1 species